CCUUGGGCCGCUGGGUCACCGUCCUGGGUGCUUGGGUCCCUCGGACAUCCCAAAGGGGCGGGCCGGUGGUUGCGGGCUCAGGAGGAUGGGGUGGGCGGCCCGGCUCCUCUGUCGCUGCCCGGCCGGGCCAAGCGUGCUCUCGCUUUUCUCUUCCCGGACUAACUGCCUGUCCAGUUUGGGCAAGGGGCUGAACCUGGGAACCCCAAGAUGAUGGGGAGACGGCGGUGCCCGGCAGGAUUAGCCGUCAUCUUACCAUCGCGGAGGGGAAAGCCGAGCGCGCAUUGCGCUACAGUGGGGAAAGCAACUAGGAAUCCAGUGGGCAGCGCGCGGAGGAGGCCACAGCGCCCCCUUUCGGCCGAGCCCUCGGGGUAGGGUCAGCCGCCCCGCCAAACCUUGGGGUCUUCAUCCGGUUUGGAUCCUUAGCUUCCCAGCGCACCUCCAGCUCUGGAAAGUAGCUCCUGCCUCUUCCAGCCCCUUAAACUUUCCCCUCCAGACCUUCCAGUUGGACAGAACUUUUGACUUCUCCUACCUCUUCCUUCUAACCGCCAGAGCUGAAAAGGGAGGUAGAGAAAUCACUCUUCCCUGCAGGGCCUCGGCCUGCUAAGCCGCAGCCGGUCCAGAAGAAGCGUCCAGGGGAAGCGGCAGCACUUCUGCUGGAGUACGGUCGCAGAGUGGUGGUCAGUAGGCUUUGACAUCAAACGCGGAACCUAACUGCCCUGGAUUCGGUGCCCAGCCUUUCCCAAUCCCCUCUUCCCGUCCAUCCGCUCACUUAGCGCAUUGGGCAAGAGCCAGUGCCUUCAUGGGUCCAACCGAUUCCUCUUUUCAAAAGGGAGUUGUUGUAAGAGGUUCACCACGCACAGUUGACUUGUGAGGAAACUGAGACUCACAGACAGGUGGUGACCUAUUCAAAGUCGCACAGCUGGGAAACCUAGCCCUCAGCCUCCUGAUCCCGGCCCCCCAGCUCGAAGUGCCUGGAGGGCUGGCCCUGAAGGGGUUUGGGACUUUGUAGUGGGGAAGGGCGUUGCCCAGGCAGCCAACUGGUCACACUGGCUUAGCCACACAGGGUGGCACUUUCUAGAUGAAGCACUCAGUUGGGAGUCUUGCAAAACCCCAUUUGGUUAGUGCCCCAGAGCUUGUCAGGCUGAGUUUGGAACUAACUCGUCCCAAUCAAUCCCAGAAGAGAAGGACGCACCAGCCCAAUUGCCAAUUUAUUGUUCUCAACCAAAGAUAAAUGCAGGGCAGGCUAGCGUAGUGCAGGUUCUGGAGUCAGACAGCCAGUGUUAGUCUUGGCUCUUCCGCUUACAAGCUGUAUGAACCUGGGAAAUUAUUUAACAGUGCCUCCAUUUUCUCAUCUGUAAAAUGGGGGUAGGAAUACCUACCUCAUAGGGUUUUAAGGAGGUUCAAUUAAGUUAUUAUUUUUAAAUGGCUUAGAAUGGUGCCUGGCACAUAACAAAAGCUUUAAGAAGGUUAGCUAUAGUCGCGAUCAAUAUCAUCAUCACUGAAGAGACCAGAUGCUCAAAUGUAUGGGCAGCGUGGUCCCUCCCUCUAAGCAAUUAUUUGUGGAAAGCAGGAUUCUUGAUGAGAAGGUCACAGCAGUGGGCAUGGUAGAAUCAGAGGCGAGGGAGCUGGCAGGUCCCCAGGGAGGUUUGCCCAGGCCCUGCAAAGGCCUCGCUCCCCAGUCCUGCCCGACCUUGGAGCUGACUCUCCAGGGACCAGACGGCUCCAGAUUUCCCUGAUUCCCGGUUUCUCUCUGCUUAAUAAACACCAACAAAAUUUGCCUUUCUGAGCCCUGUCAUCCUCCCCUUGAGUUGAUCUUUAAAUAUGCUAAUGCAUCGAUUAGGCUGUAAUCAAGUCUUGUUCUUCCUGUUUUUUUGGCCUGGGAUUCAGACCUUCUCUUUCUAAAGGGGCAUCUACAUAUGGCACAUCUCAUCCCCCCUCCCCUCCCCUAGGUGGGAGGCCGAGGGCUUCUGUAUCACUCCUUGACCUACUUAUUUAUAGUUUUGGCCUUGACCGCCUCAGGGUGUUCAGGAGAGCCACAUGUGUAACACCCCUUCUGUAAAAGCAUUUCAUAUCCCCUUUCAUUUGUCCUGAAACUGCUCCCUUCCACCUUCAAGAACCCUGGCUCUCAUCUGCUCCGAUGCCACUGCCAGAGGUGGUCCAUGCCUCCCUCACUGCACCACCUCCAGCCACAGGCACUCCAGCCUGAAGGCUCAGGGUGGUUUCCUUAGACAGCCUCUCCACACCCUCCCCAGGACAGGCUUCUGCUCCAUUCCAGCAUUCUCUUCCCUACCCCACCCUUCCUAGACUCUCUUCCGACCCCUUCCUGGCCUCCUCUUCCCGUCUGGGCCCAGACCACAGUCAGCUUUCAUUCAUUUAACCUGCCAGAUUUGGGGAAAAGGGGAAAUAUGAGGAAUCCAAGCAGGAGUAAAAGACAAUUCCAAGUCCUUCCAUAUGUGAGACCAAUUAAUGAUGGGUGGGACCCAGGAAAGGAAGGCUCAGCCUGUGGGGUUCCGUUGGCAUUAACUAUGGGUGUCCCAGUGAGGUCAAUGGUCUGGAACCACACUUCUUAGCCUACUUGUGCGAAAGAACCCGUUCUUGGUUUUAAAUUUUUUAAUCUGUUUCAGAAUGAUACUGUUGCAAAAUAAAGUGGGAAUGAAUUAUUAGAAAAAUGAAAUAAAAAAUAAAGACAUGCAAAAUAAAAGCCCAAUUUUUAAAACUAUUAGAUCCAAUGGACAUAAAAACACCCUGUCAAAUUGCUUAACAAUUUCUAAAUGCUCACUCUCAAUUUCUGCACUUAACCUUGACACAGACUGGUAGAAAAUAGUUUGCAGACAGAUCAUGCUUGGAAUAGCACAGGUCUAGAAUGCUUCUGAAGUAUAAGGUCAGGAAAAUGGCCUCGUGGAGGGAACAGCUUAUAAAACCGCAUGAACAUCAAGGGAGAUGGUGUUAAUUACUCCAUUCGUCUGUGCAUUCAUUCAACAAACACUUAAUGAGCAGCAUCUAUGCGCCAGUCACUGUUGGACACUAAGGCUAAUAAAGAUUAAUAGAACAGGGCCUUAGCCCUCAAGAUGUUCACAGGUUGGAAGGGGAGAUAGCCACUCUGAUAAGUAAUUAAAAGCUAUUGAAAUUAGGUUAAUAAUAGACCACGGGCAUGGAGGCACAAAUAUUAAUUCUGCCCAGGGCCAAUGGAGAAGGUUCUACCAAGGAAGUGAUGUUGUGCUAAGGUCUGGAGGCCAACUUCAAUCCCACAUGGCCAGCAGGCACUCAACAGAUGAGUCUAAAUUGUGUAAAGCACUUAGCACAGCGCCUGGUACUUAGCGAGUGCUUCCAAAGUGUUAGCUGUUUUUUAUGAUUAAAUCUUAUAAAUUAUCAUCAUCAUCAUCAUCACCAUCAUCAUCCAGCUAGAUCCACCAAACAUUGUGCUUAACUUAUUAUUAUUCAUUCUCUCAUUUAGACUGAUGGAUAAUAACAAUACUAAUUUGGAUUUGUAUGGCAGUUGGUAUCAUGCCCAGCUGUUUUACAUUUUCUUUCUGUUUUCUUUUUAUUUAUUUUAAAGAAAACAGGUUUUAAAUUGCCCAGCAAUUAAAAGCAUUCAAAUGUGUAUUUUCUACAUAAUUUAUUGUUGGAGGUAAUUCAUGUGAAAUAAAAUAUUAAUUUUCA